rnacentral:rRNA from 1 species
CCUACGGGAGGCUGCAGUGGGGAAUAUUGGACAAUGGGGGGAACCCUGAUCCAGCGACGCCGCGUGAGUGAAGAAGUAUUUCGGUAUGUAAAGCUCUAUCAGCAGGGAAGAAAGAUAUGACGGUACCUGACUACGAAGCCCCGGCUAACUACGUGCCAGCAGCCGCGGUAAUACGUAGGGGGCAAGCGUUAUCGGGAUUUACUGGGUGUAAAGGGGGCGUAGACGGCGAUGCAAGUCUGAAGUGAAAGGCGGGGGCCCAACCCCCGGACUGCUUUGGAAACUGUAUGGCUGGAGUGCAGGAGAGGUAAGUGGAAUUCCUAGUGUAGCGGUGAAAUGCGUAGAUAUUAGGAGGAACACCAGUGGCGAAGGCGGCUUACUGGACUGUAACUGACGUUGAGGCUCGAAAGCGUGGGGAGCAAACAGGAUUAGAUACCCCAGUAGUC